rnacentral:rRNA from 1 species
UGGGGAAUAUUGGGCAAUGGGCGAAAGCCUGACCCAGCGACGCCGCGUGGGCGAUGAAGGCCUUCGGGUUGUAAAGCCCUUUCGUGUGGAAAGAACAGCCUCAUGACGAAUACUCGUGGGGUUUGACGGUACCGCAAGAAGAAGCACCGGCUAACUCCGUGCCAGCAGCCGCGGUAAUACGGAGGGUGCGAGCGUUGUUCGGAAUUAUUGGGCGUAAAGGGCGCGUAGGCGGUUGUGUAAGUCAGAUGUGAAAUCCUUCGGCUUAACUGAAGAACUGCAUUUGAUACUGCACAACUAGAGUACAGGAGAGGGAAACGGAAUUCCCGGUGUAGAGGUGAAAUUCGUAGAUAUCGGGAGGAACACCAGUGGCGAAGGCGGUUUCCUGGCCUGAUACUGACGCUGAGGCGCGAAAGCGUGGGGAGCAAACAGG